AACAGCCGCCUAGGAGCGCUUUUGACACGCUGCGCAGAUCCCGCGCGCAGGAACACACCGCCAUAUGCUUGGGAGAGAGUUUCGACCAGGAAAAUCCUUGCCGUCCUCCGAAGCCUCGUGAAAACAACAAUGUCUCGAAGAAGAAGAUACAGUGACGAUGAAGACGAAGGCCGCGGCAACAAACGUCGCCGGACCAGCGAACCGCUGGAGAUCGAGGACAGACUGGAGUCCCUCAUCACUCGUGUGGGGGAGAAGAGCACAUCAUCAUUAGAAUCUAACCUGGAGGGACUGGCUAGUGUGCUGGAGGCCGACCUGCCAAACUACAAGGCCAAGAUCCUCAAGAUUCUUGUUGACUG